rnacentral:rRNA from 1 species
AAACCAGCACUUCAAGUGGUCAGGAGGAUUAUUGGGCCUAAAGCAUCCGUAGCCUGUUCUAUAAGUUUCCGGUUAAAUCCAUUAGCUCAACUAAUGGGCCGCCGAAAAUACUGUAGAACUAGGGAGUGGGAGAGGUAGACGGUAUUCGGUAGGAAGGGGUAAAAUCCUUUGAUCUAUUGAGGACCACCUGUGGCGAAGGCGGUCUACCAGAACACGUUCGACGGUGAGGGAUGAAAGCUGGGGGAGCGAACCGGAUUAGAUACCCGAGUAGUCC